GGUGGUUAGAUACAGGACACUACCAUAGAGGUGGUUAGAUACAGGACACUACCAUAGAGGUGGUUAGAUAAGGACACUACCAUAGAGGUGGUUAGAUACAGGACACUACCAUAGAGGUGGUUAGAUAAGGACAUUAGUGUAGAGGUGGUUAGAUACACGACACUGUCUUUAGGGUGCUUGGAGUGCAGUAGGCCCUAACGAUAGACACUUGAACCUCAACUUUGAUGUGCAGAAGUAAUAUGAUCCACUGUAUAAGCCAACAACAACAACAACAACAACAUGCUUCUGUGUCAUUGUAUUCUUUGACUCAACUCAAGGAUAUGUAACAUAUUAUUGGAGAGGUAAACCUUCUCAUGUGAUGUACAGUUGUAUUUUAAUACACAGAAUCAGCACUACAGUCCCAGGAACAGGACGUGAACCAUCCAAAUCUCUUGUUGUGUACAUUACAGAGUGACGUUACUUAGCAUUCGGUAGUAGUUCUUUAAACAGACACCAGCUUGGUUAACUUAGUGUAAUGAACAACAGUCUAAGGUCUGUGUCCCAAAUGGCACUCUAUCCCCUGCAGUAUGUAGUGCACUAUGGGCCCUGGGCAAAAGUAGUGCACUAUACCCUCUUAGAAUUAGUGGUGACUUGAGGAACCCUGGAGAUCUUCAAGGAACAAUUGGACAUCCUCAAGGAACUCCUGGAGAUCCUCAAAAAAAACCUGCAGAUCCUCAAGGAACCCCUGCAGAUCCUCAAGGAACCCUUGUUGAUCCUCAAGGAACCCCUGUUGAUCCUCAAGGAACCCCUGCAGAUCCUCAAGGAAACCCUGCAGAUCCUCAAGGAACCCCUGUUGAUCCUCAAGGAACCCCUGCUGAUCCUCAAGGAACCCCUGCUGAUCCUCAAGGAACCCCUGCUGAUCCUCAAGGAACCCCUGCUGAUCCUCAAGGAACCCCUGCUGAUUGUUCAGGAACCCCUGUUGAUCCUCAAGGAACCCCUGUUGAUCCUCAAGGAACCCCUGUUGAUCCUCAAGGAACCCCUGGUGCUCAUCAAGGAACCCCUGGUGCUCAUCAAGGAACCCCUGCAGAUCCUCAAGGAACCCCUGCAGAUCCUAAAGGAACCCCUGGAGCUCAUUAAGGAACCCCUGGAGCUCAUUAAGGAACCCCUGGAGCUCAUUAAGGAACCCCUGGAGCUCCUCAAGGAACCCCUGUUGAUCCCCUAUACCUGGUCUGGCUGGUCCCCUAUACCUGAUCUGACUGGUCCCCCAUACCUGGUCUGACUGUUCCCCCAUACCUGGUCUGACUGGUCCCCUAUACCUGGUCUGACUGGUCCCCUAUACCUGGUCAGGCUGGUCCCCUAUACCUGGUCCC
ensembl:lncRNA